rnacentral:lncRNA from 1 species
UUUUGAGCAAACAUAUUACUUCCUUGCUGUACGUUUGUGAGCAAGUAAAUUGUUCUCUGUUUCUUCAUGCUUUGUUCAAUAUCUUGUUCUCUUCUUUUACUGCUGCCAAAACCCCAACAAUCUUGUAUUCAUCUAAUUUUUCAUCUGUCUUUCCUCAAGCAGUAAGUUGGCGAAAAAAUUGCAUCUUGUGAUGACUUACCAACUAUUGUUGAAGAUGGUGACAUUCUUGUGGAACUUGAAGCCAUACUGGAUACCCGUUGGAUUAAAAAGGGAUCCAAAUUUGUUGAGGAAAGUUUGAUCAAAUGGACAAGGUUCUAAACAAAGGGGAGGAAUGGAUAAGAAAAGAAAGUCCAAAAGGAUGUCUAUCAAACGAUCCACGUGUGC